rnacentral:tRNA from 1 species
UGGGUCAUGGCUCAGUGGUAGAGCUCUUGCCUAGCAUGCAUGAGGCACUGGGUUUGAUCCCCAACAGCACAU